AAACCAUGGUGUAGACAGCUCCUUAGUAAAUCCUUGAAACGUUCCCAACAAUCAUACAAAGUCUCGCUCUUUUGCUGAAGAAAUCCUGCUAUAUCAUUCCUCAACUU